rnacentral:rRNA from 1 species
CUGCUCUAAUAAGUGGGCUAAUGACGGUACCGUAAGAAUAAGCACCGGCUAACUACGUGCCAGCAGCCGCGGUAAUACGUAGGGUGCGAGCGUUAAUCGGAAUUACUGGGCGUAAAGCGUGCGCAGGCGGUUAUAUAAGACAGUUGUGAAAUCCCCGGGCUCAACCUGGGAAUUGCAUCUGUGACUGUAUAGCUAGAGUACGGUAGAGGGGGAUGGAAUUCCGCGUGUAGCAGUGAAAUGCGUAGAUAUGCGGAGGAACACCGAUGGCGAAGGCAAUCCCCUGGACCUGUACUGACGCUCAUGCACGAAAGCGUGGGGAGCAAACAGGAUUAGAUACCCUGGUAGUCCACGCCCUAAACGAUGUCAACUGGUUGUUGGGUGCAUUAGUACUCAGUAACGAAGCUAACGCGUGAAGUUGACCGCCUGGGGAGUACGGCCGCAAGGUUGAAACUCAA